CUGAAUUCUGAGUUUUUUGAUUGUAAAAUAAUCUAUUUGUAUGUUUUGCCUGGAAAGUUAUGGUCGCUAGUGUUUGUAUAAGAUAUGAACUGAACGUUUUAAUAGCUUGUCUGGUUCAAAUUGAUAGACUAAUUCAACUUAAAAUAAUAACGAAGCGAAUUCUGAUGCAAGACGAUGUCUGUUCACUAAAUUAUCUGCUGGAAUAAUGUAUUGAGAAUUGAGUCGUAUUUAAAUUACUGUAUCAAUAGAGAAGACAGUUACCUAAGUUAAAGAAAUUCUGCAUGGAGAGGAAAUAAUAGCGGGGAGAGGAUGGUGAUAGAAAGUGAUUACCGAAAUGUUUUUCAUUCUUAUAGAUUGACUGACGCAUGUUAUAAUUUUGGCGCUGCGUGUGUUAUUUUUAAAGAAAUAGGAUACAUUUCAUAAGUGUGAAGAGCAAAGAGAAGAGGAAGUUAUAAAGUUUGGUUUUAAAGCUUACGAUAGAGGGAAAAUGGAUAUUUCACUGUCUCUCUCUGGAAUGCUUCCAGGGACUAUACACUUGGGGAGAGUGGGUGAAAUUGAGGCCAUAAACUACCACAUGAAGAAGGCCUGGAUGUUGUUUGUUUUAGUGCAAAGGUCUAACUUCUUUAUCCUUGGCUCUACGAUGGAGUUGACAGUGAGAUGGGGAGUAUAAACCAAUUUGAAAGAAUAGUUUCAAUAGAAUGUUUUGAUAUUCUCUGUGAAAUAUGUUUAGAUAUGUGUAUUAAGAAUAAUUGGUAAAAGUAAUAAUUUAUCAUGUAGUUAAUGAACUGAACUAAACUGUUGUUCUGAUCUGUUCUUUCGAGGUUAUCAUGAAAAGUGACAUCAGACGGUAUCUUAAUGCAUGGAAGAGAUAAUUGGACCGAAUGGUGUGUACCUCAAAAAAAACUCUAACUGGCUGAAGAAGAGUGACAAAGGCGUUGAAUGAGGCUUUCCAAACCACUUCUACUGAGAGAAAAGAACCAAGCCAGAAAUGGGUGUACAGUCUCAGAUCUAAGCUAUCAACUGCUUUUCUUUCAUGUUUCUCUCAUACUGUGAGAGUCCACUUGGAGUGAUCAUGGAGAAAGAUCUGUUCUAACAUUUUCUUAUGAUGCUGGUAUAUUGGUUGACGAAUGGACAAGACAUGAGUGGUAAAGAUGAGACAUUGAAAUUGGGACAUUAUCAUGGGCCGUCCACUUUGAACUGUAAAGCUAUCUGAAGAAAAAUGGUAGAGACGCCAGAAGAUUCAGUGCCUGGGAGGGGGGUUGGUCAACUGUGCCAUUAAAUUGUUUAUACUUUUGUGGUAUCAGGUUGAUUGAAGAGGUCUACACCAUGUAAAUUGUAGUAAUUUAGAUUAAGAAUGCAUUGAGAUACUGAUCUGUAUUAUAAUCAUGAUUAAAAAAGUUAAUAGUAGAAUUAUGGGAUAAUUAUACUGAAUGUAAGUAAAUCUGCUAAUAUUGAUGUGUUAAAUUGAGGUUUUUAACUUUGAGUGAUAAGACAAAUUUGAAUCACUGAGGAAUGCUAUUCUAAAUAUUGGUUGGAUAAAUAGUUGGGUUGUUACUUAUGAUUUGGAAUAUGAAUGAUUUCACUGACCUACUCUCUAUUCCUGAGUAUAUUUCUGAGCAUGAGGACUUAGAGGGAUGUCUGUCCUAUAUGUUGUGAGGAGGCCUGUGUUUAGAUACUGGUUCUCAUGUAAUUUCGGGAGCAUUUCUAAAUAUUGGUUAUGUUUUUUUCGUCAAAUGGAUUAUUCUGUGUUAUUAAACAUGUGCAAGUUUGUCUUGUAG